ACCGCGGUAGCCCAGUUGGUUAGGGCGUCGGCAGUACUGAUGACGAAGGUCGCAGGUUCAAAUCCUGCCUGCGGUG